rnacentral:rRNA from 1 species
UGCAAGUCGAACGCAGUCGUCUCGCAAGGGACGGCUGAGUGGCGAAUGGGUGCGUAACACGUAGGUGACCUGCCCGGAAGUGGGGAAUAACAGUCCGAAAGGACUGCUAAUACCGCAUGUGGUGCGUGGGUUUUGAAGCUGCGUACCAAAGGUGCUCGCAAGAGUGCCGCUUUCGGAGGGGCCUGCGGCCCAUCAGCUAGUUGGUAGGGUAACGGCCUACCAAGGCGACGACGGGUAGGGGACCUGAGAGGGUGACCCCCCACACUGGCACUGACACACGGGCCAGACUCCUACGGGAGGCAGCAGUCGGGAAUAUUGCACAAUGGACGAAAGUCUGAUGCAGCAACGCCGCGUGCGCGAUGAAGGCCUUCGGGUCGUAAAGCGCUUUUCGGGUGGAUGAGAAGGGACAGUACACCCGGAAUCAGGAACGGCUAACUACGUGCCAGCAGCCGCGGUAAAACGUAGGUUCCGAGCGUUAUCCGGAUUUACUGGGCGUAAAGCGCGUUCAGGCGGUUGGGCAAGUCGGGCAUGAAAUCUCUGGGCUCAACCUGGAGAGGUUGUCCGAUACUGCCGAACUGGAGGGCAGUAGAGGGUGGUGGAAUUCCGGGUGUAGUGGUGAAAUGCGUAGAGAUCCGGAGGAACACCAGUGGCGAAAGCGGCCACCUGGACUGCACCUGACGCUGAAACGCGAAAGCUAGGGGAGCGAACGGGAUUAGAUACCCUGGUAGUCCACGCCGUAAACUAUGAGAGCUAGCCGUUGGGGGAUUUAUCCCUCAGUGGCGCAGCUAACGCAUUAAGCUCUCCGCCUGGGGAGUACGGUCGCAAGAUUAAAACUCAAAGGAAUUGACGGGGCCCGCACAAGCAGUGGAGCAUGUGGUUUAAUUCGAGCACGCGAAGAACUACAGCCUGACAUGUCGACGUUCA